rnacentral:rRNA from 1 species
UACGGAGGGUGCAAGCGUUAUCCGGAUUCACUGGGUUUAAAGGGUGCGUAGGCGGCUAAAUAAGUCAGUGGUGAAAGCCCGCAGCUCAACUGCGGAAUUGCCAUUGAAACUGUCUAGCUUGAAUCUGGUUGAAGUGGGCGGAAUACAUCAUGUAGCGGUGAAAUGCUUAGAUAUGAUGUAGAACACCGAUUGCGAAGGCAGCUCACUAAGCCAACAUUGACGCUGAGGCACGAAAGCGUGGGUAGCAAACAGG